UAAAGGGUGCGUAGGCGGCCUGUUAAGUCAGGGGUGAAAGACGGUAGCUCAACUAUCGCAGUGCCCUUGAUACUGAUGGGCUUGAAUUGACUAGAGGUAGGCGGAAUGUGACAAGUAGCGGUGAAAUGCAUAGAUAUGUCACAGAACACCGAUUGCGAAGGCAGCUUACUAUGGUCUUAUUGACGCUGAGGCACGAAAGCGUGGGGAUCAAACAGGAUUAGAUACCGUGU
rnacentral:rRNA from 1 species